ensembl:antisense Gm15533 predicted gene 15533
ACCCAAGAGUGUGAGAGCCGAAGGUAGUUUCACAGUCCCAAUAUGUCAGACACAACAGUUUGGACAAACCCCGGCUCUGGCAUUUCCAGGCUUGCUGGAGGACCGCUGCCAAGCAAGACCUCUUCUCAACGCCAGGCUUCCAGUGUUGGUUCUUCAAACUCCUACAUCUUCUCCUUAAAUCCUGAAUGUCCCGGUGCUGCUCUCAGUAACAAGACAGAUACACAAGAUGCCCUCACUUCUUCACGUCUUAAGUACCAAGCUAGAGUAGAGAGAUGGCUCAAUGGUUAAGAGCGCUGUCUGCUCCUCCAGAGGACCUGAGGUUUGUUCCCACAUAGUCGCUCACAACCAUCGAUAACUCCAGUUCCAGGCAACCUGAUAUCCUCUUCUGGCCUCUGUGGAUACUAGGCAUACAUGUGGUACAUAAACCAUAUACCCAUACACAUUAAAUAUCUUUAAACCAUUUUU